rnacentral:snRNA from 1 species
GUGCUUGCUUCAGCAGCACAUAUACUAAACAUUGGAAUGAUACAGAGAUUAGCAUGGCCCCAGGGCAAGAAUGACACAUAAAUUUAUAAAGCAUUCCAUAUUUUU